CACUCCUACCAACGGCUACCAGUAAUUCCCCUUUACAUAAUCCCUUCAAGAAGCAUCCAUCAAGACCAAUUAUUUUCCUACAUCCUUCUAACCAACCCCUUUUAAGGGCAUCAAAACACACAUAAAAAUACACAAACAAAUUUUUUCCAGGUAUUGUAUCCUUGUCUGUCCUAACCCAACAAGAACUUCCAGGAUUUGUCUUCUUAAUAAUGUCAGCAUAGUCACAUAAUCUAGAGAAUUCCAGAUUCCAAUCACCCAUGAACUGACUCAUUACCCUGCACUUAGC
rnacentral:lncRNA from 1 species